GACGAACGCUGGCGGCGUGCUUAACACAUGCAAGUCGAACGGUGAACGAGGGAGCUUGCUCCCUCCGGAUCAGUGGCGCACGGGUGAGUAACACGUGAGCAAUCUGCCCCGAACUCUGGGAUAAGCGUUGGAAACGACGUCUAAUACCGGAUACGACGCGGUAGGGCAUCCUCUCCGCGUGGAAAGAACUUCGGUUCGAGAUGAGCUCGCGGCCUAUCAGCUUGUUGGUGAGGUUACGGCUCACCAAGGCGACGACGGGUAUCCGGCCUGAGAGGGUGACCGGCCACACUGGGACUGAGACACGGCGCAGACUCCUACGGGAGGCAGCAGUGGAGAAUAUUACACAGUUGGCGCAAGCCUGAUGCAGCAGCGCCGCGUGAGGGACGACGGCCUUCGGGUUGUAAACCUCUUGUAGCAGGGAAGAAGCGAGAGUGACGGUACCUGCAGAAAAAGCACCGGCUAACUACGUG
rnacentral:rRNA from 1 species